rnacentral:lncRNA from 1 species
AAUAAAAAAUGCUUUUGGGGCUUUUUGAAAAAUAUACCCCAACUAUAAAAAUAGAUUGGGCAUUUUUUAAAGAAUAAAAAUGAAUCCUUUUUGAAGAAUAGAAUAAAACCCUUUUUAUAAAUAAAAUGAGACUAUAAUUUUGAAAUAAAACAAAGGAAAAAAUAAAGGAAAUCCAAGGGAUUGCCCCCACAUUUAAUAAAAGGAUUUUUAAAAGAAGACUAACUUUUUUAAAGGGGGUUAAAACUGAAACUUUAACGCGGCCACAAAAUAAAUAAAAGAGGAGAGAAGGGGAGUUCCUAUUGCAGCAAAGACACCGA